GCUCUUAUUGUCAUUGUUCUCCUGGUUUUGAUCUGUUUCCUGCUGCGUAAAAGGAUCUUCCGGUGUUUUCAGAAGGAAGAGCAGUUUAUUCGUCAGUGCGAUGCUCCAGACAACAAGGAUCUGGAGAUGGUCUGAUCUGAUGAACCUAAUACACUUCAGGAAUCGGUUCAAUGAAUCAGUUUUUAGAUCCUGAUCAACAUCACGGUCAUUUUAUUAUCUGUUGAAACGGAGAAGACCGAGAAACACUAAUGUUAUGCUGCAUGUGGUUUUAUUUAAAGCCAGUAACUGUGUAGAAACUGAUGCAGUGAUGGUCACAUUAGCUCUUAUUAGCUGAUGUUUAACUGCGAGAGAUUUACAUUUUACAGAAAAUGUUUCCCAAUUAUUUUUUUUUUUUUAAUAUUUAAGAAAAUUUAAGAUGUAAGUUAGGAUAUCUUACGUUAAUUUUAC